ACCUUCGUGGUGUAGUGGUCAGCACGCUCGACGCGUAACCGAGAGGUCCGUGGUUCGAUUCCCGGCGAAGGCA
rfam:Stegodyphus mimosarum contig103480, whole genome shotgun sequence.